CGUUAUGGCGGCUGUGCGCGGGAGACCUUCGGGUCUACCGGGUUUUCUCCAUUUACCUCGGGUUCCAACCUGCGUACAGCUGCCACCCUA
rnacentral:antisense_RNA from 2 species